CAGCAGCCGCGGUAAAACGGAGGGCGCGAGCGUUACCCGGAUUUACUGGGCGUAAAGGGCGUGUAGGCGGCCUGGGGCGUCCCAUGUGAAAGGCCACGGCUCAACCGUGGAGGAGCGUGGGAUACGCUCAGGCUAGAGGGUGGGAGAGGGUGGUGGAAUUCCCGGAGUAGCGGUGAAAUGCGCAGAUACCGGGAGGAACGCCGAUGGCGAAGGCAGCCACCUGGUCCACUUCUGACGCUGAGGCGCGAAAGCGUGGGGAGCAAACCGGAUUAGAUACCCGAGUAGUCCCUGUCUCUUAUAC
rnacentral:rRNA from 1 species